rnacentral:siRNA from 1 species
CGUAGAUAUCCGAUUGGUC